rnacentral:rRNA from 1 species
UACGUAGGGUGCGAGCGUUGUCCGGAAUUACUGGGCGUAAAGAGCUCGUAGGUGGUUUGUCGCGUUGUUCGUGAAAACUCACAACUCAAUUGUGGGCGUGCGGGCGAUACGGGCAGACUGGAGUACUGCAGGGGAGACUGGAAUUCCUGGUGUAGCGGUGAAAUGCGCAGAUAUCAGGAAGAACACCAUGGCGAAAGCAGCUCUCUGGGACGGUACUGACGCUGAGACGCGAAAGCGUGGGGAGCGAACAGG